UACACACCGCCCGUCACACCAUGGGAGUUGAUUGCACCAGAAGUGGGUAGCCUAACCGCAAGGGGGGCGCCUACCACGGUGUGGUCAAUGACUGGGGUG
rnacentral:rRNA from 1 species